UGGGGAAUUUUGGACAAUGGGCGAAAGCCUGAUCCAGCCAUGCCGCGUGAGUGAAGAAGGCCUUCGGGUUGUAAAGCUCUUUUAGUCGGAAAGAAAGAGUCGCAAUGAAUAAUUGUGAUUUAUGACGGUACCGACAGAAAAAGCACCGGCUAACUACGUGCCAGCAGCCGCGGUAAUACGUAGGGUGCGAGCGUUAAUCGGAAUUACUGGGCGUAAAGGGUGCGCAGGCGGUUUUGCAAGUCAGAUGUGAAAGCCCCGGGCUUAACCUGGGAAUUGCGUUUGAAACUCAAGGCUAGAGUGCAGCAGAGGGGGAUGGGAAUUCCAUGUGUAGCAGUGAAAUGCGUAGAGAUGUGGAAGAACACCGAUGGCGAAGGCAGCUCCCUGGGUUGACACUGACGCUCA
rnacentral:rRNA from 1 species